AUCCCAAAACAUCUUACAUUCACAGAUAGUUGGGUAGAAGAAAAAAGUCAAACUCCCAAAAAAAAAAAACCGGAAAAUUUAAAAAAAAAGGAUCAUUUUUUCAUUUCUUCAUAUUCUUUUCUUUUAUUUCCUGGAAAAUUUAUUUUUUUUUU
rnacentral:ribozyme from 1 species